rnacentral:rRNA from 1 species
UCCUACGGGUGGCUGCAGUGGGGAAUUUUACACAAUGGGCGAAAGCCUGAUGUAGCAACGCCGCGUGGAGGAUGACGGAUUUAGGUCUGUAAACUCCUUUUAUAAGGGAAGAAAUUUGACGGUACCUUAUGAAUAAGCACCGGCUAACUCCGUGCCAGCAGCCGCGGUAAUACGGGGGGUGCAAGCGUUACUCGGAAUCACUGGGCGUAAAGGGAGCGUAGGCGUUCUAUUAAGUCUUGAGUGAAAGCCCGCAGCCUAACUGCGGAACUGCUCAGGAAACUGAUAGAAUUGAGUAUGGAAGAGGUAGGUGGAAUUUCCAGUGUAGGGGUAAAAUCCGUAGAUAUUGGAAGGAAUACCAGAAGCGAAGGCGACCUACUGGGACAUUACUGACGCUGAGGCUCGAAAGCGUGGGGAGCAAACAGGAUUAGAUACCCGUGUAGUC